AUAAAGUUCAAUAAAGUUGUUGCGAUACGAACGGCGGUAGCCAUUGUUCCAAAAUUUGUCUAUUUGUUUAAUUUACAAUAACGUGAAGGUGACUUUAGGGUAGUUUGACCGCAUUAGUGGUAUCGUGAAACUUCCUAUUUUCUUGUGGACUUUAAGGCGACCGUCUCAACCGAAAUAGAAAUGAAUCCCGAGUAUGAUUAUUUAUUUAAACUGUUGCUGAUUGGGGAUUCAGGAGUAGGAAAGUCAUGUUUACUGCUUAGGUUUGCAGAUGAUACUUAUACAGAAAGUUACAUUAGUACAAUUGGAGUAGAUUUUAAAAUCAGAACAAUAGAUUUAGAUGGAAAAACCAUUAAACUACAAAUCUGGGACACUGCUGGCCAGGAAAGAUUCAGAACUAUCACAUCGAGUUAUUAUAGAGGUGCGCAUGGUAUAAUUGUCGUCUAUGAUUGUACAGACCAAGAUACAUUCAACAAUGUAAAACAAUGGUUGGAGGAAAUUGAUCGUUAUGCAUGCGAUAAUGUUAAUAAGCUUCUUGUCGGCAACAAAAGUGAUUUAACCACGAAAAAAGUCGUCGAUUACACCACAGCCAAGGAAUAUGCAGAUCAAUUGGGAAUACCAUUUUUGGAAACAUCGGCGAAAAGCGCAACGAAUGUGGAACAAGCUUUCCUUACCAUGGCGGCGGAAAUUAAAAACAGGGUGGGCCCGCCAUCAUCCGCGGUUGAUCAGGCGAGCAAAGUGAAGAUUGAUCAAGGUCGCCCAAUUGAGAGCACCAAGUCGGGUUGCUGCUGAAGAAGCUUUGCUCCCGAAAAAAGCUUCUCCGGUCGGCGCACGUACGUUUAGAUGUGGGUGCGGAUGUCAAACAUAAAAUUUCUUAUUUUGUACCAGGUCCAUCUUGGACAAACAUCUAUAUUAUUAUCAAAAACUAAAAAAAAAUAUGAAUAUAAUAAUCCGUCUAUGUAUAGUAAAUUUAUUUCGUUUUACGUUUUAGAACCCAUUAAGUUGCCCUAAAAAAUUACUCUCUUUUAGUGAGACCUUGAAUACGUUUUGUAAUUAAAUAAUUUAUGCACAUUUGUGUAUAUUAAAUCCAAAACUGAAAAAGUUUGUAAAAAACCCCUUUAUUUCUGUCCAAUUGUGUUUACAUCUUUUGUAAUUUAUUAUUUUCUCGUUUUCGUUUACUAACAGUUAAAUUCCACGUUUCAUAUUAUUUUCUAUAAUUUUAGUUAAUUUAAAAAAUACAUGGUGGGGUUAUUAGGAAAAUUCGAACGGUCUUUUCUCUCGCGCGUUCCCUUAGGAUCAUUUUUUUUGUUUUCCCUUAAAUCUCGGUAGUUUUUGCACUUUGAUCUGACGCGCACUUGUAGGAGUUCAGUUUGUGUAACAUAUUUCCAAAAAUACUAAUAAUUACAAUUAAAACUGAUAACGUUUCCGAUUUUUAGAGUGAUUGAAAUAAAGAAACGUGCAACCGA